CAGAUGACGCGCGGCGUGCUUAACACUGCAAGUCGACGAUGAAGCCUCGGGUGGAUUAGUGGCGAACGGGUGAGUAACACGUGAGCAACUGCCCUUGACUCUGGGAUAAGCUGGGAAACUGGGUCUAAUACCGGAUAGUACCCUCUGCCGCAUGGUGGGGGGUGGAAAGCCUUGUGCGGUCUGGAUGGGCUCGCGGCCUAUCAGCUUGUUGGUGGGGUGAUGGCCUACCAAGGCGACGACGGGUAGCCGGCCUGAGAGGGUGACCGGCCACACUGGGACUGAGACACGGCCCAGACUCCUACGGGAGGCAGCAGUGGGGAAUAUUGCACAAUGGGCGCAAGCCUGAUGCAGCGACGCCGCGUGGGGGAUGACGGCCUUCGGGUUGUAAACCCCUUUCGGCAGGGAACAAGCCGCUUCGGUGGUGAGGGUACCUGCGGAAGAAGCGCCGGCUAACUACGUGCCAGCAGCCGCGGUAAUACGUAGGGCGCGAGCGUUAUCCGGAAUUAUUGGGCGUAAAGAGCUCGUAGGCGGUUUGUCGCGUCUGCUGUGAAAGCCCGGGGCUCAACCCCGGGUCUGCAGUGGGUACGGGCAGGCUGGAGUGCAGUAGGGGAGACUGGAAUUCCUGGUGUAGCGGUGAAAUGCGCAGAUAUCAGGAGGAACACCGAUGGCGAAGGCAGGUCUCUGGGCUGUAACUGACGCUGAGGAGCGAAAGCAUGGGGAGCGAACAGGAUUAGAUACCCUGGUAGUCCAUGCCGUAAACGUUGGGCACUAGGUGUGGGGGCCAUUCCACGGUUUCCGCGCCGCAGCUAACGCAUUAAGUGCCCCGCCUGGGGAGUACGGCCGCAAGGCUAAAACUCAAAGGAAUUGACGGGGGCCCGCACAAGCGGCGGAGCAUGCGGAUUAAUUCGAUGCAACGCGAAGAACCUUACCAAGGCUUGACAUGUGCCGGACCGUCCCAGAGAUGGGGCUUCCCUUCGGGGCCGGUCACAGGU
rnacentral:rRNA from 1 species